AUGCACGCUGGCGGCGUGCCUAAUACAUGCAAGUCGAGCGAACAGACGAGGAGCUUGCUCCUCUGACGUUAGCGGCGGACGGGUGAGUAACACGUGGAUAACCUACCUAUAAGACUGGGAUAACUUCGGGAAACCGGAGCUAAUACCGGAUAAUAUAUUGAACCGCAUGGUUCAAUAGUGAAAGACGGUUUUGCUGUCACUUAUAGAUGGAUCCGCGCCGCAUUAGCUAGUUGGUAAGGUAACGGCUUACCAAGGCAACGAUGCGUAGCCGACCUGAGAGGGUGAUCGGCCACACUGGAACUGAGACACGGUCCAGACUCCUACGGGAGGCAGCAGUAGGGAAUCUUCCGCAAUGGGCGAAAGCCUGACGGAGCAACGCCGCGUGAGUGAUGAAGGUCUUCGGAUUGUAAAACUCUGUUAUUAGGGAAGAACAAAUGUGUAAGUAACUAUGCACGUCUUGACGGUACCUAAUCAGAAAGCCACGGCUAACUACGUG
rnacentral:rRNA from 1 species